GUGAGAUUCUGCGACCAUGCUGAGUAUCAGUUACAGCCACGUGUCUGCUGAUGCUGGAGGUUCCUCGCUCUGUUCGUGACGUCAUCUGGGGGCCCUGACUGGCUGCAAGAGGCUGUGAGGUUCUCGGACACCCUGCAGCUGGGAUCGAAGCUUCUCUUCCAGCAAGUCUGGUAUCGAAGGCACGGCUGUGUUUUCUGCGAUGCCUGCGGAAGGGAGACAGGUUACUCCAACAAGGAAGAAUGGAGCAACUGAGUUACUGAGCUGUCCAAUUUCCACCCAAUGGAGAGGCCGAACUGUCUCUACUGCGAGGACUUACAGAGAUGGUGGAAGAACAACAGAAGGUGGGCUUACAAGCACCUCCCCUGCAUUGCUCAGUAUGUCCAGCACAGCCUCUUUAGCUAUGAGGUCCCUCCUAGAGGACACAAGGCACCUAGAAAAGGGAAUGAGAAGUGGUAAAUUUUUUGUUCCCAUCUUUAAGUGAAAUGCUCCUGACCCAAACAGUAGUGAGGAAAUGAAAGUUAAUCAGAAUUGAAUUGGGAUUUGGUUUUUACGACCACUGCUAUCGUGGGGAUUCCACUUAACAGUAAUUUUUAUUCGAUCUCUGAACCCUUGGAAUGUAAUCCUUCAUCAAGUUCUGGAAAUUAUUAUAAACCAUUUCAAACAUAAACAAGUUUAGAAAGGGAUAUAAAUAACACCCACAUAGCGCCUCCGUAUUUUGAAAAACUCCAUAGUACGCCAUAGGUGCUUCCCAGUGUGUGCAUGUGUGUUUGAAUGAGAAUAUUGCAGAGCUGGGGGAGACCUGCUUAGUACUCACCCCCAACCACUAUCCCUGCCCCCCAAAGAUGACACUGUCUUGAUGGUGCUGUAGACCUUCCCUUCUUGCUGGCACACUCUGACCCUGUAUCUCUA